AGAGUUUGAUCAUGGCUCAGGAUGAACGCUGGCGGCAUGCCUAAUACAUGCAAGUCGAACGGAAUCUUAUAUGUUCCUCGUUUCGGAUUUAGUUCCGAGUUGGGGAACAAUAAGAUUUAGUGGCGGACGGGUGAGUAACACGUUGGUACCUACCCUCUAGUGGGGGAAUAACUUCGAGAAAUCGAGGCUAAUACCGCAUAAUAUCUACGGAUUAAAGCAUUUAUGCGCUAGAGGAGGGGCCUGCGUCUGAUUAGCUUGUUGGUGAGGUAAAAGCUCACCAAGGCGACGAUCAGUAGCUGGAUCGAGAGGUUGACCAGCCACACUGGGACUGAGAUACGGCCCAGACUCCUACGGGAGGCAGCAGUAAGGAAUCUUCCACAAUGGGCGAAAGCCUGAUGGAGCAAUGCCGCGUGCAGGAUGACGGCCUUCGGGUUGUAAACUGCUUUUAUAUGGGAAGAUUAUGACGGUACCAUAUGAAUAAGGACCGGCUAACUACGUG
rnacentral:rRNA from 1 species